rfam:Candidatus Lambdaproteobacteria bacterium RIFOXYD2_FTLL_50_16 rifoxyd2_full_scaffold_173, whole genome shotgun sequence.
CGAGUGGUCUAGGCAGCCGCUGGCGGGGAAACUUGCUGGAGGAAAGUCCGGGCUUCAUAGGGCAGGAUGCUGGCUAACGGCCAGAGGGGGUGACCCCAUGGAAAGUGCCACAGAAAAUAUACCGCCGAUGGCCCCAGGGCACAGGUAAGGUUGAAAUGGUGGGGGAGCUUGCUCCUUAAUGUAAGAGCCCACCGCAAACCUGGCGACAGGUUUGGCAAGGUAAACCCCAUUCGAAGCAAGUCCAAAUAGGGCGAUCAUGAGGCGGCCCGUCUCGUCGCCGGGUAGGACGCAAGAGGGCCGGAGUAAUUCGGCUCCCAGAUAAAUGGUUGCUACCCCCUCGGGGGACAGAACCCGGCUUAUUGACCACUCGUCUU